UCCCUCGCGGCGUAUUAUAGCCCGCGGCGCCAUGCCCCCGGGGGGGCCGAGGACCGCGCUCCGGCAAGGAUGCUGGCGUAAUGGCCACCGGCGACCCGUCUUGAAACACGGACCAAGGAGUCAAGCAUUGGGGCGAGUGUCUGGGUGGCAAGCCCGCACGCGGAAUGAAAGUGAACGCAGGUGGAGCUUUCGGCGCACCACCGACCGAUCCUGAUGUCCUCGGAUGGAUUUGAGUAGGAGCCCCGCA
rnacentral:rRNA from 1 species